GACAGAGGAUGCAAGCGUUAUCCGGAAUGAUUGGGCGUAAAGCGUCUGUAGGUGGCUUUUUAAGUCCGCCGUCAAAUCCCAGGGCUCAACCCUGGACAGGCGGUGGAAACUACCAAGCUGGAGUACGGUAGGGGCAGGAGGGAAUUCCGAUGGUGUAGGCGGUGGAAAAUGCGUAGAUAUCGGGAAGAACACCAAAGGCGAAAGCGCUCUGCUGGGCCGAAACUGACGCUGAGACGCGAAA
rnacentral:rRNA from 1 species